AGCAUUAAGGUGGGUGGGAUAAUAUAACAAUAUCCUCUUUGUUGUUAUAGUAUUCCACCUACCCUGAUGUU
rfam:Poecilia formosa, whole genome shotgun sequence.